rnacentral:rRNA from 1 species
CCUACGGUGUGCAGCAGUGGGGAAUAUUGGACAAUGGGCGAAAGCCUGAUCCAGCCAUGCCGCGUGUGUGAAGAAGGCCUUCGGGUUGUAAAGCACUUUCAGUGGGGAAGAAAGCCUUGGGGCUAAUACCCUCGAGGAAGGACAUCACCCACAGAAGAAGCACCGGCUAACUCCGUGCCAGCAGCCGCGGUAAUACGGAGGGUGCGAGCGUUAAUCGGAAUUACUGGGCGUAAAGCGCGCGUAGGCGGUCUGAUAAGCCGGUUGUGAAAGCCCCGGGCUCAACCUGGGAACGGCAUCCGGAACUGUCAGGCUAGAGUGCAGGAGAGGAAGGUAGAAUUCCCGGUGUAGGAGUGAAAUGCGUAGAGAUCGGGAGGAAUACCAGUGGCGAAGGCGGCCUUCUGGACUGACACUGACGCUGAGGUGCGAAAGCGUGGGUAGCAAACAGGAUUAGAUACCCUAGUAGUC